AGUCAAGUAAUUAAGUGCAUGUGGUGGAUGCCUUGGCAGUCAGAGGCGAUGAAAGACGUGAUAGCCUGCGAAAAGCUCCGGGGAGGCGGCAAAUAUCCUUUGAUCCGGAGAUGUCUGAAUGGGGGAACCCACCUACUUUAAGGUAGGUAUUGCAACAUGAAUACAUAGUGUUGCAAGGCGAACGAGGGGAAGUGAAACAUCUCAGUACCCUUAGGAAAAGAAAUCAAUUGAGAUUCCCUCAGUAGCGGCGAGCGAACGGGGAUCAGCCCAUUAAGUUAUGUGUGUUUUAGUGGAACGCUCUGGGAAGUGCGAACGUAGAGGGUGAUAUUCCCGUACACGAAAGGGCACACAUAAUGAUGACGAGUAGGGCGAGGCACGUGAAACCUUGUCUGAAUAUGGGGGGACCAUCCUCCAAGGCUAAAUACUCCUGACUGACCGAUAGUGAACCAGUACCGUGAGGGAAAGGCGAAAAGAACCCCUGUGAGGGGAGUGAAAUAGAUCCUGAAACCGCAUGCAUACAAGCAGUGGGAGCACCUUUGUGGUGUGACUGCGUACCUUUUGUAUAAUGGGUCAGCGACUUAUAUUCAGUAGCGAGGUUAACCGUAUAGGGGAGCCGUAGAGAAAUCGAGUCUUAAUAGGGCGUUUAGUUGCUGGGUAUAGACCCGAAACCAGGCGAUCUAUCCAUGAGCAGGUUGAAGGUUGGGUAACACUAACUGGAGGACCGAACCCACUGUCGUUGAAAAGCCAGGGGAUGACUUGUGGAUAGGGGUGAAAGGCUAAUCAAGCCUGGUGAUAGCUGGUUCUCCCCGAAAGCUAUUUAGGUAGCGCCUCGGACGAAUACCAUAGGGGGUAGAGCACUGUUUCGGCUAGGGGGUCAUCCCGACUUACCAAACCGAUGCAAACUCCGAAUACCUAUGAGUACUAUCCGGGAGACAGACUGCGGGUGCUAACGUCCGUAGUCAAGAGGAAAACAAUCCAGACCGCCAGCUAAGGCCCCAAAAUCAUAGUUAAGUGGGAAACGAUGUGGGAAGGCAUAGACAGCUAGGAGGUUGGCUUAGAAGCAGCCACCCUUUAAAGAAAGCGUAAUAGCUCACUAGUCGAGUCGGCCUGCGCGGAAGAUGUAACGGGGCUAAAA
rnacentral:rRNA from 1 species